rnacentral:rRNA from 1 species
AUUGAACGCUGGCGGCAGGCCUAACACAUGCAAGUCGAACGAGUGGCGGACGGGUGAGUAAUGUCUGGGAAACUGCCUGAUGGAGGGGGAUAACUACUGGAAACGGUAGCUAAUACCGCAUACCAUCAGAUGGGCCCAGAGGGGAUUAGCGAGUUGGUGGGGUAACGUCUCAACCAGGAGACGAUCCCUAGCUGGUCUGAGAGGAUGACCAGCCACACUGGAACUGAGACACGGUCCAGACUCCUACGGGAGGCAGCAGUGGGGAAUAUUGCACAAUGGGCGCAAGCCGGAUACAGCCAUGCCGCGUGUAUGAAGAAGGCCUUCGGGUUGUAAAGUACUUUCAGCGGGGAGGCGUUACCCGCAGAAGAAGCACCGGCUAACUCCGUGCCAGCAGCCGCGGUAAUAC